UACGUAGGGCGCAAGCGUUAUCCGGAAUUAUUGGGCGUAAAGAGCUCGUAGGCGGUUGUGCGCUGUCGGCCGUGAAAACCUGCAGCUUAACUGUGGGCUUGCGGUCGAUACGGGCAUCACUGGAGUUCGGCAGGGGAGACUGGAAUUCCUGGUGUAGCGGUGAAAUGCGCAGAUAUCGGGAGGAACACCGGUGGCGAAGGCGGGUCUCUGGGGCCGAUACUGACGCUGAGGAGCGAAAGCGUGGGGAGCGAACAGG
rnacentral:rRNA from 1 species